rnacentral:rRNA from 1 species
UGUUUUGUUUAUUAAUAGGUAUUGCAUACUAGUGAAAGAAAAUUUUAUGGUUAAUAAAAGAUAGAAAGAAAAGGUAGAAGAUUGAUUAUUUUUAUUGUUAUAAAAUGAAAAUUAUUAAUUUUAGGGUUGAAAAGUCGUCUUUUUUGUUUUCUGUUUUUGUUUUUUUAUUAGAAAUUUAUAUUUGUAUUUGAGAUUUUUUUUUGAAAAUUUAUGGUUUGAAGUUUUUUUGUUUUUGGUUUUAUAACUAAUUUUGUUUAAUUUUUGUUUGGUUUUUUUUGUUUCUAUUGAAGUUUUAAUAGUUGAAUGAUUUUUACAUUAGUAAUGUUUGAAAAAUUUUGUGGGAUUUUUUAAUAUAAUAGAAUAAAUGGAAAUUUGAUCAAAUGUUUUUUAAAGACUUAGACUUUUUUUUAAAGUUUGCUUCUGCCCGGUGAUUGAUUAAAUGGCAGUCUUAGCGUGAGGAUAGUAAGGUAGCAAAAUAAUUUGUGCUUUUAAUGGGUUCCAGUAUGAAUGAAGUUAUUGGUUGAUUUUUUUUUAUUUUUUUUAUGAAUUUUUAUUUUUAUAAAAAGAUUAAUGUGUAGUUGAACAAAGAUAAGUCUUCGGAAAUUCUGUUUUUGUGUUUUAAUCUUUGUUUUAAAAUAUGAAAAAUUUUCUAGGGUAGAAAUAUUUAUAUGAAGAAGAUAACUAUUUAUAAGAAAAAGAAUUACUUCGGAGUUAACAGAAAAUCAUAUUUAAUCUAGUUGUUAUAGUAAAAUAAGUUUUACAUCGAUGUUGUAUUUAAAUAAGUUAGGAGGGAGAAGGUUUAAUUUUUGAGACUGUUCUUCUUUUAUUUAAUUUAACGUGAUAUUAGUUUAAUUCAUCGUGAGAUAGAAUUGUUUAUCUUGUUAAUUACUAGUUUUUAUUGUUGUGAGUACGAAAGGAAAAUUAUAAAAGUUUGAAACUUUUUUGGGUAUUUGUUAUUC